UGUGGGAGGUGGUUGUUGGGGGAGGCCUCUCAUUGGCCACACGUGGGACACACAUUGGGACAACCUCAGGCCUGCUUGGCCAGCUGCCUCUGCAGCCAGUUCCAGGAGACACCAAUCCCUAGAUCCGGCUAGAGUCCUCCCUCGUAUCCACUUAGGGUUCCCUGAGCAGUGAGGGAGGCAGCCAUCACUGAGAUGGGCCCCCGGGAGAAACCUGAGAAAGCCCUGAGUCACGUGAGGGGCCUGGCACACCUGGCCGUCCGUGGGACCCGGGGAGCCAGGCCCAGCCCAAGGAACGGCACCCAACCGAAGAGGCCUCUGACAGGUUUUGCCUAGUUCAUGGUGGGCCACUGAGUGGAGGGCUGGCCCCAGCUACCUCCUAGGCCCGGGGCCUCCGAUGAAAACGCCUUCAGUGGGACCUUCAGCGGGACCCUCAGCAGCUGGGAGGCCUGGGGACCCGCCGAGACCAGGGGAUGGGGAAGCCCCAGGAAACAGUCUGGGAUGGUCCUCAAGGCUGGGAGCCCCAGAUCUGCCAGGCCAGGAGGGGGUGCCAGGCUGCACCAUGAAGUAAGCAGGUGGUGGUGACCUUUCUGGCGACUUGGUAUUUCCAGUCUGGCUCGGAAAAUUAAUCUCUGCCUUUCUGAACUUUCAAGGGGUCCUGUCACCUCUCAAAGAGGAACGGGUCUAGAAAAAGUCCCGGAGAAGUGAGACCCCCCCCCGCCCCUCCCCCCUUGUCUCAAAUUCUUGUCGGAAAGCCUUAGGAGAGCCUGAGACGAUCCUUUUCCUCGAAGUUGAUUGACUUUAAAAGAAAAGGGCUACAGUUUGCACACCGCCACUCAGCUCUGCUGAUGGCGAGCUCCAAAGCAAGACAGAGAACAAGCAAAGUGGACUUGGCCCAGCUGGCUAUCUGAAAAAAAUAAAUCCUUCCCCAAGCAGGUAGAUCCUGUUGCCCGCCAAAGCAGUCGCUCAGAUUCUCCUGUAACAAACAUGGAACACUUCCCCUUUCUUCUAAUCUUGAUGUGCCGCUCCUGCCCACGUGGCUCUGGAGGCUGGUACCUCCUCAGUGACAUGUGACCCAGCUGACACCAACUUGAUUGACACAAAAACAUGUGUCUGGCCAAGAGAAGCAGCUUAAGAAAUCUAAGAAACUUCUCCAGGCGCCAUUUGCUUCCCAUUCCCAGAAAGGCAGACCUUGACGGGCAAGAAGGUUAGAAAUCGUCCCAUCUCCAGAAACAAGUCCUCUGGCCAGGGACGAUACGAGGUCUAAGAGAGCAGUGCACAGAGAAGCACUCAAGUUUCUGUUCGACUACCUCAGUCACCCCAGAUCACUCCUCCCCUGCCAUGGGCUUCGACUUCUGCAAACCAAAUCCUUCCGGCUGAAGCCAUAUUCCUAGCCCACAGUUUCGCCAUGAAACUUUGUUUUCCUUUGCUUUCUCUCCGAGAAUAAGGGAGAUUUAGGAACAGACGGCAGUGUGGAAAUCAAGAUUAGCUAACAGUUCUAUCAAACCAUAUUCAAAAAUAGCACAUAGCAGUAAAAGUUCAAAGAUGAGGCCUAGAGAAAUUCCUGAAAGGAGUCAGAAAUCCCUGAAAUGUAGAAAAGGGACGAUGGCAAUGAUUCUCCCCACUUUACAGAAUGGAAAACUGAGGCCUCAGAUGUGGCAGACACGGAGUACUGGGAAUGACUGGGGUGGGGUGGGUUCUAAAGCGACGCAGCACAGGUGGCUUUCCAUCCCUUUGGGAGGCUGUAAGGCCCUGGCGGCAACUGCCCCACCCGGUUCCCCGGCCACCGGCACCCGCCGGCCCCGCCCACACCUUACGACCUGGCCCCGCCCAUUCACCUCCGCCCCGCCUCGCCCCUCCCUCGCUCCCAUUGGCCCAGCCUCCCCAGGCCCGCCUCUCCGCGCCUCCCAACAUAUAAAAGCCCCCCGCCCCGUCCAACCGACCUCCACUCGCCGCCGGCCUGCUAGCGCCCGCCCCUCGCGGGGGCUGGGCCCCGGACCCCAGGGGCGGGUGGUGUCGCCCCAGCCGGGCCCCGGCCCCCUCCCCCACGGCCCCGACAGUCGCCGCCGCCAUUUUGACCGCCCGCCCCUUCCCCCCGGACUAUGAUUACAGCGACACCCGCCGCCCGGGCCCCGCCGCCCUCCCUGGCCGGGCCCGCCACCCCAGGGCCGCCCGGGUUACCUCGGCUUCUUCCUACUUCUGUCCGCAGAAGGGCUUUCCAGAGGUCUCGGAGGCGAUGUUGGGAGGGGGACGGAACGUGCCGGGGUCCCUGGGCCGGGCAGGGGGGGGUGGGGGUGGGGGUCGGCCGGGCGGUUGUUGUUGUUGACUCGCGUUGCCGGGUUGCUUGGUCGCCACGACUACCGUGGCUAUGGCGCCUCCGUUUCCCUCACCGGGGCAACUGUUGCUACCCACCCUACACACGUCAUGAGCGGGGGCGGAGCCCCGGGUGAUUGGCGGCGCCAGGAGAAGUGAUUGGAUGGCGCUAGGUCCUGCUGCUAAGCUAUUGGUCCUAAGUCACGCUUUUCAACACCCUCUAGACUUCUCGGCGCUCUGAUUCAUCGCUGUGAAUGUCCAUCAAAGGAAAUUGAACCCUCAAAGGCAGAAGAACCCGUCACUCCCACAAGGAAGCAGCGGCCUAAGAAUAAAGGGGUGGGGUCUGUGAGGUUGGGAUUGGCUUGCGGCUGUAAAACCUGCCUUAUGGUUCAGCUAAAGGGAUGUCAAUCCAUUCCAAAGGUUUGCCGCGCUCUCCAGCUGGGAACCGUGCGCAUGCGCAGCACGCAAAGCCAGCUGGGAGUGGUAGUCCGCUCAGCGUACUUUAAAAGCCUUACCAACUAUAAAAGGCGAGAAAGGAAAGCUCUCUUCCUUCAGACUUCUUCCUGCCCCGGUGGGUCAGUUCCUCGCCUCGCGCGCUUACGUCACGGGAGGAAUGCAGUGACGCGCGCGGCUCGUCUGUGACGUCAGCGGCGGAGCUGGGCUAGGGAUUCAGUGACGUCACUGGGCGCUCUUCCCCUCCCCCCUAUUGCCCUACGUUG